GACGAACGCUGGCGGCGUGCCUAAUACAUGCAAGUAGAACGCUGAAGGAGGAGCUUGCUCUUCUGGAUGAGUUGCGAACGGGUGAGUAACGCGUAGGUAACCUGCCUGGUAGCGGGGGAUAACUAUUGGAAACGAUAGCUAAUACCGCAUAACAGUAGAUGUUGCUUGACAUUUACUUAAAAGGUGCAAUUGCAUCACUACCAGAUGGACCUGCGUUGUAUUAGCUAGUUGGUGGGGUAACGGCUCACCAAGGCGACGAUACAUAGCCGACCUGAGAGGGUGAUCGGCCACACUGGGACUGAGACACGGCCCAGACUCCUACGGGAGGCAGCAGUAGGGAAUCUUCGGCAAUGGACGGAAGUCUGACCGAGCAACGCCGCGUGAGUGAAGAAGGUUUUCGGAUCGUAAAGCUCUGUUGUAAGAGAAGAACGAGUGUGAGAGUGGAAAGUUCACACUGUGACGGUAUCUUACCAGAAAGGGACGGCUAACUACGUG
rnacentral:rRNA from 1 species